GACAGGGAAGGAAUCGAGACAAGCAGGGGUGGAUGUGGUUCCAGCUGGAGAUUGGCUUCAUCCUGGAAUGCAGACUGAACCAAACGAAGAACCCAGCUGUUCUCUGGCUGGAGAAAAGAGCAUAAUGAUGAGAGACUAACCAAUGUUAAGAAAGCAAGAUCUCAAUAUCCUCCAUCUACCCACAUCUGUAAAUAUUGCAGAAGUGAUCUGUAUUCAUGGCAAUGCUCCCUAUGCUUCUGCCUUCUGAACUUUGAAUGAUGUUUCCUAAAAUAUAUUGAAUCAAUCUUAAAGGAUUAUAUGACGGCAAAGAUCCUUCAAAAUGUAGCUGAUUUAUCCUGUUGGUUUCAGCUGGAAACGCAUAAAAGAGAUACCAGAGAGGUGAGUCUUAUUAUUCAAUACCUACACAGAAGCAGACUCCACACAUUCUUUUCUGAAUAAGUCAAUUUUUGAAUUU